rnacentral:rRNA from 1 species
UACGUAGGGGGCAAGCGUUGUCCGGAUUUAUUGGGCGUAAAGAGCGUGUAGGCGGCCAGGUAGGUCCGUUGUGAAAACUCGAGGCUCAACCUCGAGACGUCGGCGGAAACCCUCUGGCUAGAGUCCGGAAGAGGAGAGUGGAAUUCCUGGUGUAGCGGUGAAAUGCGCAGAUAUCAGGAGGAACACCGAUGGCGAAGGCAGCUCGCUGGGACGGUACUGACGCUGAGACGCGAAAGCGUGGGGAGCAAACAGG